rnacentral:rRNA from 1 species
UGCCAGCAGCCGCGGUAAUACGGAGGGUGCAAGCGUUAAUCGGAAUUACUGGGCGUAAAGCGCGCGUAGGCGGUUGUCUAAGCUAGGUGUGAAAUAUCUGGGCUUAACCUAGAGGGGUCAUGUGAUACUGUCUAUCUCGAGUAGAGCAGAGGGAAGUAGAAUUUCCGGUGUAGCGGUGAAAUGCGUAGAGAUCGGAAGGAAUACCAGUGGCGAAGGCGGCUUCCUGGGCUCAUACUGACACUGAGGCGCGAAAGCGUGGGUAGCGAACAGGAUUAGAUA